GGGGGCGAUUUGGUUUCGACGUAAAUUUAGCAUUUAGAUGCUGCAUGCCGAGAGCUAACUCGUAAAACUGGCACUCGCACAAUAAGUGCAGAACCAAUCAAUCAACUUGCUGCCUAGAAUAGCGUAGCAACAUUGAAGAUAACUUUGCUCAUAGGGUUUUCUUCAAUGUCAUUAAUAUGGGCCUGAUAAAAUUUUCUUCUCUGCUUUUUUAUCAGUAUAUUAGAGAAUCGAGAUAUCUUUUGUUUUUUAGCUACAAGAGAUAUUUUUAAAAUCGAGCUAAAAUAAGCAUGUAGAGGCUCUAUUUAGCUUAUUUCCGGACCUGGGUUCGAUUCCCAGCGCCUCCAAUA
rnacentral:tmRNA from 1 species